rnacentral:rRNA from 1 species
CCUACGGGAGGCAGCAGUGGGGAAUUUUGCGCAAUGCUCGAAAGCGUGACGCAGCGACGCCGCGUGAGGGAUGAAGGCCUUCGGAUCGUAAACCUCUGUCAACAGGGAAGAACGUGCAUUUAGCUAACUAGGAGUGAAUUGACGGUACCUGUAAAGGCAGCACCGGCUAACUCCGUGCCAGCAGCCGCGGUAAUACGGAGGGGGCGAGCGUUGUUCGGAAUUACUGGGCGUAAAGCGCACGUAGGCGGUAUUGUAAGUCAUUGGUCAAAGCCCAGCGCUCAACGUUAGAACUGCUAUUGAGACUAGAAUACUAGAGUAUCAGAGAGGAUUGAAGAAUUCCUGGUGUAGCAGUGAAAUGCGUAGAUAUCAGGAGGAAUAUCGUUAGCGAAGGCGGCAAUCUGGC